UACGUAGGGGGCGAGCGUUGUCCGGAGUUACUGGGCGUAAAGGGCGUGCAGGCGGUUUUCUAAGUUCGGAGUGACAGUUCCCGGCUCAACUGGGGAAGGCCUACCGAAAACUGGAGAACUUGAGGGCCAGAGAGGGACAUAGAAUUCCGGGUGGAGUGGUGAAAUGCGUAGAUAUCCGGAGGAAUACCAAAGGCGAAGGCAGUGUCCUGGCUGGCAUCUGACGCUGAGGCGCGAAAGCGUGGGGAGCGAACAGG
rnacentral:rRNA from 1 species